rnacentral:lncRNA from 1 species
UUUUUCCUCUCUACUCGGGUUUCAGCUGCACUGCCACGGCCUUCGAUCCCAAUCCAGACAGUAUCUGUAGCGAUGUAAACAACCCGGAAGCGAAUGAAAUAUGGCUUGACACGUGCGCCAGCGAGACUUUCACUUCUCCGAACUAUCCUUCGCAAUACACUGAUGGCGACAGCACAGAAUGGGUUUUCUGCGCUGUUGACCUUAACGAUAGAAUCCAGUUCAACUGCGAAGACUUUGAGGUUGGCGGCUGGUUGUUCGGCUGCCUGGGAGACACUCUAAAUAUCUCUUCAGCUUCUCCUGAAGAGUAAGUACUUGGGAUCAUAGUUAUAGUAUGAGAAUCCUUCUUGGUUUCUUUUGGCGAGU